rnacentral:rRNA from 1 species
UUGUGGAGGGAGCCGUCGAAGGUGGGGUCGGUGAUUGGGGUGAAGUCGUAACAAGGUAGCCGUACCGGAAGGUGCGGCUGGAUCACCUCCUUU